rnacentral:rRNA from 1 species
GAUGAACGCUGGCGGCGUGCUUAACACAUGCAAGUCGAACGAAGAAGUCCAGCUUGUUGGGUGGAUUAGUGUCGAACGGGUGAGUAACACGUGCGUAUACUGCCCUUGACUCUGAGAUAAGCCCGGGAAACUGGGACUAAUACUGGUUCGGAGCGCCUGUCGCUCUACGGUUGUUGGUAUGAUUUUGCGGUCUUGGAUAGACUGGUGGCCUAUCAGCUUGUUGGUGUGGUAAUGGCUCACCAAGGCGACGACGGGUAGCCGGCCUGAGAGGGUGACCGGCCACACGGGGACUGAGACACGGCGCAGACUCCUACGGGAGGCAGCAGUGGGGAAGAUUGCACAAUGGGCGGAAGCCUGAUGCAGCGACGCCGCGUGCGGGAUGACGGCCUUCGGGUUGUAAACCUCUUUCAGUAGGGAAGAAGCGAAAGUGACGGUACCUGCAGAAGAAGCACCGGCUAACUACGUG